CCCUUAGAUGUUCUGGGCCGCACGCGUGCUACACUGAGUGGAUCAGCGGGUCAGGUUGCGCGAAAGUGUUUCCUAAUCUUGAAAUCCGCUCGUGAUGGGGAUUGACGGUUGCAAUUUUCCGUCAUGAACGAGGAAUGCCUUGUAAGCGCGGGUCAUCAUCCCGCGCUGAAUACGUCCCUGCCCUUUGUACACACCGCCCGUCGCUCCUACCGAUUGAGUGGUCCGGUGAGGCUUUGGGAUCUGAGCGGAAAGAGCGUUUCGCUGUUUCUGCCCGGAAAACUCAGUCGAACCUUAUCAUUUAGAGGAAGGAGAAGUCGUAACA
rnacentral:rRNA from 1 species